ACUAAAUAGAUACCCUGGUAGUCCACGCCCUAAACGAUGUCUACUAGUUGUUGGUGGAGUAAAAUCCAUGAGUAAACGCAGCUAAACGCGUGAAGUAGACCGCCUGGGGAGUACGGUCGCAAGAUUAAAAACUCAAAGGAAUUGACGGGGGCCCGGCACAAGCGGUGGAUUAUGUGGAUUAAAUUCGAUGCAACGCGAAAAACCUUACCUGGCCUUGACAUGCCACUAACGAAGCAGAGAUGCAUUAGGUGCCCGUAAGGGAAAGUGGACACAGGUGCUGCAUGGCUGUCGUCAGCUCGUGUCGUGAGAUGUUGGGUUAAGUCCCGCAACGAGCGCAACCCUUGCCAUUAAUUGCCAUCAUUUAGUUGGGCACUUUAAUGGGACUGCCGGUGACAAACCGGAGGAAGGUGGGGAUGACGUCAAGUCCUCAUGGCCCUUAUGGCCAGGGCUUCACACGUAAUACAAUGGUCGGUACAGAGAGUUGCCAACCCGCGAGGGGUAGCUAAUCUCAGAAAGCCGAUCGUAGUCCGGAUUGUUCUCUGC
rnacentral:rRNA from 1 species